rnacentral:snoRNA from 1 species
GCUGUUGAUGAUGUGGAGAUGGUAGAAUUUAUCAUGAAUGGUCUAGAUUUUGAUUACAACCCAAUUGUUUCGUCCAUCCUUGGCCGAGCUGAUCCUAUAUCACUGAGUGAUCUCUACUCUCAGCUAGUAGCAUAUGAUA